UACGUAGGGCGCAAGCGUUAUCCGGAAUUAUUGGGCGUAAAGAGCUCGUAGGCGGUUUGUCGCGUCUGGAGUGAAAACACGGGGCUUAACCCCGUGCCUGCUUCCGAUACGGGCAGACUAGAGGUAUGCAGGGGAGAACGGAAUUCCUGGUGUAGCGGUGAAAUGCGCAGAUAUCAGGAGGAACACCGGUGGCGAAGGCGGUUCUCUGGGCAUUACCUGACGCUGAGGAGCGAAAGUGUGGGGAGCGAACAGG
rnacentral:rRNA from 1 species